rnacentral:lncRNA from 1 species
GAGUUCUGGGAAUCCAGAUGACGAGAAGGAAUGGACGGUGUUAUCGCUCAAGGACAUGAUGGAGAAGACAGUGAGGGGAUGAUAGAAGAGGAUCCCUCUGAGGGGUCGGUGUCAGAGAGUCCCUCACAGCACGUUGGGAGUGGUACCUCUACCAGACGUUUGAAGAGAGCAACGACGGUAGCUAAGACACAGGGUGGCGGUGGUUGUGACCUCUCACAGAAGGAGAUAGGUGCAGAGCCCAAGAGACAGACCAGGCUGACUGACAGUCAGACACAGGGGAGUAGACAGACCAGACCAAUGGAAGAAAUCAGACCAACCAGACAGAAUGACAACCAGGCACAGGAGAACAAACAGGUAAAGGGAGUGAACAUCCUGAACGCUUUCCUUUUUGCGUAAAAACACUGCGAGG